CUGGGUCAAAUCAACAUGCAGAUUUUUAGAGAGACAGAGAGAGAGAGAGCGAAAAGAAAAUGUUAGCUCUCACCAACUGAGGUACCCAACUGGAAAUGCUUGCGGCUAUAUUUCGAGGAUAACAACAAUAAACUGCCACGGAUCUCUCUGGGGUUUUCGGUGUUUAAACUUAUGAAAUUGUUCUUCUUUUGACCAA